UCUCCCUCUCUCUCUCUCGCUGAGCUCCUUGUUUUCUUCUCACUGUUGCCUAGUCUCCUCUCUGACUUGACCAUCGGAGGGUCCCCGUCGGAGCCGCCUCCGGUCAAUGCGGACUUUCUUUUGCAGGUGCUCGUUUCCGAUGAUCAGGCGACGAGGAGAUUGGCCGCAACAUAUAUGAAGACAAAUUCUAGCCCAAAUCGGACCAGCGCAUAUCUAAAAUCUAAACUUCCAGACCGGGUUCGCUUAAUAUCCGUCAUGGCAAAGACCGAUUGCAAUUUGAUUCAUAU
rnacentral:lncRNA from 1 species